rnacentral:sRNA from 2 species
GUGAGGCGCGUCUAGGGUUCCGCCGGCAUGCCGGGUCUGGUCCGAGAGACGCAGGCGGCCGGCACCGACGCAUGACCGUUCCACGGCGGGACAAAAGCCCGGGAGAC